rnacentral:lncRNA from 1 species
AUUUGAGCAGACUUGAAGAGGAGAGAAACUGAGACACGCAGGGCUUGUGGUCCCUGACAAGGAGGACCCUGAGGGCAACCACACCUUGCCAUGCAGAGCACCUGGCUUCUCAUCUGCCAACCUCACUCUGACCCGGCUGCAGGAAGGGAAGGAGCCAACCCCGGACUCAAGACUCAAGGGGACCAGAACCAGGGAGAUGAGACAUACCAGGGCUGGGCAGCUGUGGGGGUCCUUCCAGAGAGGAGCUGAGAUACGCCUACCUGGAGGGGCCCCUGGGCCUGGAGGGGCUCCUCAGUGUGACUGGGUGAAGUGUUUUCAGAGGACCAGGGUUGAGGUUGGGGGCAUCUCAUCCAGACCCUGCCGGUAUCUGCCCCAGAACCCAAGGGCCCCUCCUUCCUCCUUCCUCAAUGGAAAUGCUGGGGAUGUCCUCAGUCACCCUCUGAGCACUCACACAUCACCCCUUAUUUGGAAAUUUUUCUCACUCUAACCUUCCUUCCUGCUGCACCUUCUGCCCCAUCCUCAGGCUCUGGCCUCUCUCUCUCUCCUCUUCUACCCUUUAGCAGGUAAUGACUCACUUCCCACUGAGGAGCCAGCUCUAGGUGAGAGUCUGGGCUCUCGGUGAGGUUGGGAGAAGGAAAAGGCUUAUGGGCCAGGGGAUGGGAGGGAGAAUGGGCACAGCCAGAGCAG